rnacentral:tRNA from 1 species
GCCCCCGUAGCUCAGCCGGUAGAGCGCAGGUCUGAAGAACCUGGCGUCGCAAGUUCGACUCUUGCCGGAGGCACCA